UGAUAGCUCAACUAUUAGGCUUCGGGGGAUACUGCCAGACUGGAACCGGGAGAGGUAAGAGGUACUACAGGGGUAGGAGUGAAAUCUUGUAAUCCCUGUGGGACCACCCGUGGCGAAGGCGUCUUACCAGAACGGGUUCGACAGUGAGGGACGAAAGCUGGGGGCACGAACCGGAUUAGAUACCCGGGUAGUCCCAGCCGUAAACGAUGCUCGCUAGGUGUCAGGCAUGGCGCGACCGUGUCUGGUGCCGCAGGGAAGCCGUGAAGCGAGCCACCUGGGAAGUACGGCCGCAAGGCUGAAACUUAAAGGAGUUGGCGGGGGAGCACAACAACGGGUGGAGCCUUGCGGUUUAAUUGGACUCAACGCCGGACAACUCACCGGGGGCGACAGCAAUAUGUAGGCCAAGCUGAAGACUUUGCCUGAAUCGCUGAGGAGUAGUGGUGCAUGG
rnacentral:rRNA from 1 species